CUUCUCUUUACAGAGAACCCUGGCACUGGAGGCAGCUCAUGCUCUACAGAAGCUCCUGCUGGCACCCUUGUUUCCCUUCCUGCCUAUGCUUGGCUGUAACUCCAGGACUGCAGAACCAAAAGUCCCAACAGAGCUUUACGAUGAACUCAUUCCCUUCAAGGAAACACCUCACCUAGCUACUCAGAGAGCCCCAUUUCACUCCUGCCAGCCCUGCAGAUCCGGCCUCAGAGGAGUUUCCCAGUGGUCUGGGAUGGGGCCAGUGCCAGACACUGUGGGGAAGACGGCAGGAAAUACAGCUGCAGCUCUCUGGAUGUUCAUUUUUACCCACUGAAACAUCUGAUCCUUUCGUGCUUCCUGCAAAGCUCUUGGCGUCCCUGAUGACAAUGAUUUCCAUCUGUGCUCUCCCUCCGAACAUUUCCAGGCUGCCUUUGUGACCACAGACCUCAGUGCAACCACCUCCUCAGGGAGGAACAAGGGAUGAAGAAGUACUGCGUGUGAAUGGAGCUCCGUCUCCACGCUGUCUGCCCAUGCUGUCCCUUCUCAGCAGCCUCUUCUCUGGGACACAUAGCCCCACUGCAGCCCUGGGGCCAGGUGAUGAGACAAGAGCCAGCCUGGUUCCUCGGGCUCCUGUUUUCCUCCUUCAGCAGGAGCAAUUAGGCUGCCCUGAGGCUGCCUUCAGUAGGCUGAUGUUAUCUCUAUCCUGACGCAGGAGAUCAGCCCUAAGACCUUCUAGCAGCCAUGCCAGCGUCACUCUCCCCACUGCUUCUACCUGAGAGAUAGGCUGGCUUCCAGGGCUCUUCAGCCUUUCCUUCCAGAGCACCUGAGAAUCUCCAGAAAAUCCCUCUGCCCUGUGCUUGAGGUGAACCCGCGAGGCUGUUCACAGUGGAGAUGCACCCUGCAGCUCCAGCUUUCUGGCUGUGGUUCUCUAGGAGGGGGACUUAGCUUCCCCACCACUCCACAGAAGGUCCC
ensembl:lncRNA